UUAUCCUUUAAGUUAGUCCCGUGAGGCUAAAAAGGACGUGAUAAAAUAGACAAAGAAGAGCAAAUUUUUCAUUGUUGAAUUUUAAUAUACUUUUUUAACCAUCAGUGUAUACUCACUCCUGCCUCUAACGGGUAGGAGUUUUUUUAU
rfam:Tetragenococcus halophilus NBRC 12172 DNA, complete genome.